rnacentral:rRNA from 1 species
CCUACGGGGGGCAGCAGUGGGGAAUAUUGGACAAUGGGGGGAACCCUGAUCCAGCCAUGCCGCGUGUGUGAAGAAGGCCCGCGGGUUGUAAAGCACUUUCAGUGAGGAAGAACGCCUGGUGGUUAAUACCCAUCAGGAAAGACAUCACUCACAGAAGAAGCACCGGCUAACUCCGUGCCAGCAGCCGCGGUAAUACGGAGGGUGCGAGCGUUAAUCGGAAUUACUGGGCGUAAAGCGCGCGUAGGUGGCUUGAUAAGCCGGUUGUGAAAGCCCCGGGCUCAACCUGGGAACGGCAUCCGGAACUGUCAAGCUAGAGUGCAGGUGAGGAAGGUAGAAUUCCCGGUGUAGCGGUGAAAUGCGUAGAUAUCGGGAGGAAUACCAGUGGCGAAGGCGGCCUUCUGGACUGACACUGACACUGAGGUGCGAAAGCGUGGGUAGCAAACAGGAUUAGAUACCCGUGUAGUC